rnacentral:rRNA from 1 species
AACGAACGCUGGCGGCAGGCUUAAGACAUGCAAGUCGAACGCCCCGCAAGGGGAGUGGCAGACGGGUGAGUAACACGUGGGAACGUGCCCGAAGGUACGGAACAACUUCGGGAAACUGGAGCUAAUACCGUAUGUGACCGAGAGGUGAAAGAUUUAUCGCCUUCGGAUCGGCCCGCGUCUGAUUAGCUUGUUGGUGGGGUAAUGGCCUACCAAGGCUACGAUCUGUAGCUGUUCUGAGAGGAAGAUCAGCCACAUUGGGACUGAGACACGGCCCAAACUCCUACGGGAGGCAGCAGUCGGGAAUAUUGGACAAUGGGCGCAAGCCUGAUCCAGCCAUGCCGCGUGAGUGACGAAGGCCUUAGGGUUGUAAAACUCUUUCGCACGUGACGAUAAUGACGGUAACGUGAGAAGAAGCUCCGGCUAACUUCGUGCCAGCAGCCGCCGUAACAC